GCACUGAACCUCAUGUUGGGAGAGCCAUGAGAGCAAUCCUUAGGUUUCUGCAGUAUGUUUCUCCAGGACGUUUGUUCAGUAGCUCCUUGUUUCUUCACAGCUGCUGAGGGUGGACAUCAGCAUCCUCGAUUUGAACAGCACGGCCUUGGACUCGGCGCUGAGGGUCUGCUUUGCUCCGGUGCCUCGGGGCGAGCUCCUGGUGUCCACUUCCUCCAACAAAAUCCUUGUGCUCGAUGCCAAAACGGGACGACUGGUGCGAGAGGUGUCUCCCGUGCACAAGGUGUCCUGCUCUUCCUUGGCGCUGAGCAAGGAUGGCCGGUACCUGCUCACUGCUGGCGACAGAGUUAUCAAAGUGUGGGACUACGGGAUGCGCUUCGAUGUCAACUUCCAGGUGUACAUCGGCCACUCAGAGCCAGUGCACCAGGUGGCCUUCACCCCAGACCAACGGCACGUCAUCAGCGUUGGAGAUGCCAUCUUCCUCUGGGAUUUCCUGGCUCUGCCUGCGGAGAGGUCACCCCAAGGCAGGUAAGUCCACCGUGCUGGGCAGUGCCUUCUCCUGCUUCCCAUCACCUCCCCUGCCCUGUCCCCUCUGGGUGUAAUGCUGGUCCCCUUGCCUCUCCAGGGCUCCUUCCUCCGUGUCCACUCUGCUGCCGGGAGCAGGUGAGUUUGCCUCCUCCCAUGAGUUGUGUUGGCCAGAAGGUUGGCCAUUCUUCAUGGCAGAGGGUAGGGGUUGGGUUUUUGGUCCCUUCCCUCAGAGGGUCAGACAGCAGGGGACUCACCAGCUAA
rnacentral:lncRNA from 1 species